AUUGAACGCUGGCGGCAUGCUUUACACAUGCAAGUCGAACGGUAACAGGCCGCAAGGUGCUGACGAGUGGCGAACGGGUGAGUAAUGCAUCGGAAUGUGCCCAGUCGUGGGGGAUAACGCAGCGAAAGCUGUGCUAAUACCGCAUACGAUCUGUGGAUGAAAGCGGGGGACCGAAAGGCCUCGCGCGAUUGGAGCGGCCGAUGUCAGAUUAGGUAGUUGGUGGGGUAAAGGCUCACCAAGCCAACGAUCUGUAGCUGGUCUGAGAGGACGACCAGCCACACUGGGACUGAGACACGGCCCAGACUCCUACGGGAGGCAGCAGUGGGGAAUUUUGGACAAUGGGCGCAAGCCUGAUUCAGCAAUGCCGCGUGCAGGAAGAAGGCCUUCGGGUUGUAAACUGCUUUUGUACGGAGCGAAAAGGCUCUCUCUAAUACAGGGGGCUCAUGACGGUACCGUAAGAAUAAGCACCGGCUAACUACGUGCCAGCAGCCGCGGUAAAAC
rnacentral:rRNA from 1 species